rnacentral:rRNA from 1 species
UACGGGGGGGGCAAGCGUUGUUCGGAAUUACUGGGCGUAAAGGGCUCGUAGGUGGCCAACUAAGUCAGACGUGAAAUCCCUCGGCUUAACCGGGGAACUGCGUCUGAUACUGGAUGGCUUGAGUACAGAAGAGGAAAGCGGAAUUCCACGUGUAGCGGUGAAAUGCGUAGAGAUGUGGAGGAACACCAGUGGCGAAGGCGGCUUUCUGGUCUGUAACUGACGCUGAGGCGCGAAAGCGUGGGGAGCAAACAGG